rnacentral:rRNA from 1 species
UACGUAGGGUGCGAGCGUUGUCCGGAAUUAUUGGGCGUAAAGAGCUCGUAGGCGGCUUGUCGCGUCGGAUGUGAAAGCCCGGGGCUUAACUCCGGGUCUGCAUUCGAUACGGGCUGGCUAGAGUGUGGUAGGGGAGAUCGGAAUUCCUGGUGUAGCGGUGAAAUGCGCAGAUAUCAGGAGGAACACCGGUGGCGAAGGCGGAUCUCUGGGCCAUUACUGACGCUGAGGAGCGAAAGCGUGGGGAGCGAACAGG